UACAAACAUACAAACAUAUAUAUGUAUAUAGUAUAAAAAUAUGUCGUUGAUGCUUAAAAAUUUUAAAUUUUAUGCUGAUACGAACUGUGAAUUGCAUAGCAAGCUACAAUUAAAUGUUACUAAAAAUCAUACGUAUAUUUUAAUAAAACUGCAAAAAGCAAUAUUGUGUUCAACCAAACUUUUAAUCUAUUGUAAAAAAGAUCAACGUUUAAUAAAUGUAAUAACAUUGGGUACAUUCAGCGAACUGAACGCUCAGUAAACAUGUUCAGUGGGCGAUUAAUUUUCAUGAACGCAACGCUACUUCAAAAGUCGUAACGGCCAAAUUAACUGCUACUUCAACUGCCGAAACUAAUUGCGAAUUCGUCAUGGAAAAUAUUGCAAAUUUUGAGAGUGACUGAAAACCUUGGAGCAGUAAAAAAAAAUAAGCUACUGUUGGAUUUAUACUAGGAGAAUCGCAUUAAAUUUCGCAGCACGAAAAUUAAAAAGAAAAGGUUAUGGAGUGAAAUACGCAAAAAAAUGCAAGAAAAAAAGAUGCCCUAGAUCGUAAAAUGCGCAAUUUGAAAAAAAAAAAACAUAUUGCACAAUUAAGCGUAACAACAAAACAACGGAUAGAGAUAGAUAUCGUGGCCCUUUUUCGACACGUUUGAUUAAUACCGGCUGCAAUGUUAAUCGCCGAGGAUGUUACAUUAGCACCAACAUCGCCAUCACCAUUAGCAUCUGUUUUCCCACAAAUUUCACCGGCUCCAACACCAAACUUCCUAUCGACUUCCACAUCUGCUUUCCCACCAAUUUCACCGGUUCCAAUACCAGAGCCACCAUCAGCACCAAUUCCCAAUCCAUCCAUUCAAUAAAACAAUAGUAAAAGUACAUACCGUCAAAUAUAAAUAAAUAAUAAAUUAAAUAUUUGAACCUAA